GGUUAGAGUGGCCUAUGUUAGCCAUGAGUAGUCAUACCCAAGGUCUAGGGGUCGGGGGUCCAGGCCAAGUCUAGGUUGGGGGUCCAGGCCAAGGUCUAGGGGUCGGGGGUCCAGGCCAAGGUCUAGGGGUUGGGGAUCCAGGCCAAGGUCUAGGGGUUGGGGAUCCAGGCCAAGGUCUAGGGGUUGGGGAUCCAGGGCAAGGUCUAGGGGCUCGGGGUGUCCAGGCCAACGGUCUUAGGGGUCGGGUGUCUCAG